rnacentral:rRNA from 1 species
GACGAACGCUGGCGGCGUGCUUAACACAUGCAAGUCGAACGGAAAGGCCCUGCUUUUGUGGGGUGCUCGAGUGGCGAACGGGUGAGUAACACGUGAGUAACCUGCCCUUGACUUUGGGAUAACUUCAGGAAACUGGGGCUAAUACCGGAUAGGAGCUCCUGCUGCAUGGUGGGGGUUGGAACGUUUCGGCGGUUGGGGAUGGACGCGCGGCUUAUCAGCUUGUUGGUGGGGUAGUGGCUUACCAAGGCUUUGACGGGUAGCCGGCCUGAGAGGGUGACCGGCCACAUGGGGACUGAGAUACGGCCCAGACUCCUACGGGAGGCAGCAGUGGGGAAUAUUGCACAAUGGGCGGAAGCCGGAUGCAGCAACGCCGCGUGCGGGAUGACGGCCUUCGGGUUGUAAACCGCUUUCGCCUGUGACGAAGCGUGAGUGACGGUAAUGGGUAAAGAAGCACCGGCUAACUACGUG